GAAGCCGGAAGCCGGUCGCCGUUGCAACACCAGCCUCAGGAAUCGGCGGGAUACGCUAGCCCUCAGUCCGGAUCAACGUCCGUGCCUCCGGCUUCGACAUGCAGGCCCGCUGGACGCCGCCGUGAACCACCUUGUUUUUCCGCAGCCCCUUGGACCCAGGCCACCUUCGUCGAUUCUGCCGGCCGCCACUACGACAUCGCAGUCAUCCUCCUCACCGAACAGUUCCAGAGAUUGUGACGGGCUCCGUGUUGUCCGCAUCUCCUCUGGACAAUGGACUCGAAGCCGCGGGUCCCUCCUACUUCUUCCCUGACGUUGACCGCCAUUGUCGUUGUCCGGAGCUCGUUGCUCUGCUCCGUACGACCUUGCCACUUGCAGCAUGGGUUUCUUCAUCGUUUCAAUAGAGUCAGGCAAUGAGGGGAAUUACGAGUUCGAUCUGCAGCUUCAUUGGGACAUUGACCAGGAAGGCAAGCAUCAUGAAUUCCCUAUCUUAUGUUUUACUU